rnacentral:lncRNA from 1 species
UGUCACGUGCGAUUCUCACUUAUGCAUCGGAACAGUCACGAUACAGAAAAAAUAGUAUUUCAUAAAAUUACAAAUUUUACAUAACUACAACGGAUUAUUACUAAGGCUUGUAUUGAAAUAUGCGGGAAACAGAUUGUUCAUCUGAAAUAUAAGUUGUGGUCGAGUUUCUCAUUGACCCAGUCCCAUAGACUGGUAAAAAUUUGAGAUCACCUUCCGACUUAGUCAGUAAAUUCAAGUUUAUAACUGCACUUUUUUUCUAUUUUAAGUGAUUAUAAACAAACAAUAAUGAUUAUUUCAAAUGUUAUAUUCACACUUACCGAAAUAUAAACCUCUUUAAACAUCCACAUUCGCUAAUUAAUUAUUUUUCUUCAUCAGUCAAAGAUGGUGGAUUUUUCAAUCUUGUCAAACUCAUCAGAUCACGUGACUCGGAUGUUAUCGAUGACACAAAAAUAAUUACGAUUUGACUGGUCAGUACAGGAAGUGACCAAUCUCUGUGUUAUAGUAGUCUCAGGU